rnacentral:rRNA from 1 species
AGCUAGUUGGUGGUGUAAUGGACCACCAAGGCGACGAUCAGUAGGGGAUCUGAGAGGACUAACCCCCACACUGGUACUGAGACACGGACCAGACUCCUACGGGAGGCAGCAGUAAGGAAUAUUGGACAAUGGGGGCAACCCUGAUCCACCCAUGCCGCGUGAGUGAUUAAGGCCUUCGGGUUGUAAAGCUCUUUUGGCGGGGACGAUGAUGACGGUACCCGCAGGAUAAGCCCCGGCUAACUUCGUGCCAGCAGCCGCGGUAAGACGAAGGGGGCUAGCGUUGUUCGGAAUUACUGGGCGUAAAGCGAGUGUAGGUGGUUGUCCAAGUUGGAUGUGAAAGCCUUGAGCUCAACUCAAGAAAUGCAUUCAGGACUGGAUGACUAGAGGACCGGAGAGGAUAGUGGAAUUCCCAGUGUAGUGUUGAAAUACGUAGAGAUUGGGAAGAACACCAGUGGCGAAGGCGGCUAUCUGGACGGUUUCUGACACUAAGACUCGAAAGCGUGGGGAGCAAACAGGAUUAGAUACCCUGGUAGUCCACGCCGUAAACGAUGGGUGCUAGACGUUGGCGAGCUUGCACGUCAGUGUCGCAGCUAACGCGUUAAGCACCCCGCCUGGGGAGUACGGCCGCAGGUGAA